rnacentral:rRNA from 1 species
AUGAAGGCCAACUGGAUCGUCCUCAUCCACCAAUCCGCAGAUGCAAAUGCGCUGGCCUUCAUGAUUCCAGGACCUGGAAUCAUACCAGCCGAUGGAGUUAACCGAUGCAAGUCAAAGAAGGAUUGGCCGGUGCUGCCGGCUGGCAUCAAGUUCGAUCCCAUGGAUCAGGAGCUGAUCGAGCACCUUGAGGCUAAAGUGAGUGCUGACAGUGCGAGAUCUCACCCUCUCAUUGAUUUGUUCAUACCAACCAUCGACAGUGAGCAUGGUAUAUGCUACACCCAUCCUAAGAAACUUCCAAGUAUCACACUAAGUGGCCUAAGCAAGCAUUUGUUCCAGCGCAAUUCCAGGGCGUCCAAAAGGGGCAAGUGGACGCGUCGCAAGAUACAGUCGGAGUGCGGCAUGCACGCGAUGUGGCACAACACCAGCAAUACCUUGCCGGUGAUCGUCAACAGCCGGUAG